rnacentral:rRNA from 1 species
AUGAUUUUUUCCUUGCCAAAAGACCAAAAGAAAAGAUCAGUAAUCAGAAAGUGGUUUGAACACUACUGUUUUAUCCCCAGAAAGAGAUCAUGCUACUUGUUGUUACCACUUGUGUUUACCUAUGGGCUCUCAUUGUAUUUCUUUUCAACUGUUAGUUUUUUUUGCCUUGCAGCAUUUCCUUUGAGGGCUAUACCCAGAAGAGGCAACUUAUUAACUUGUAUUUUCCCACCUCUUUUUACCUACGGUCAUGUCAUUGUACUUUCUUUCCAACAAGCAUGGCGGUAUUCUUCCCUGGGCACUGACAGUUUUUUGUGGAAAUUAUGUCGUGGUUUCCCAGUUUUAUCUAUGGGCCUGUAUAAACAGAGUGCCACCAUUUGCAGUCAAUAUUCCAUUUAUCACAUAUUUCAGAAGUGCUAUUUAUGA